rnacentral:rRNA from 1 species
AGAGUUUGAUCCUGGCUCAGAACGAACGCUGGCGGCAUGCCUAACACAUGCAAGUCGAACGCCUGUAGCAAUACAGGAGUGGCGCACGGGUGAGUAACGCGUGGGAACCUGCCUAGUGGUAAGGAAUAACCGCGGGAAACUGCGGCUAAUACCUUAUGAGCCCUACGGGGGAAAGAUUUAUCGCCAUUAGAGGGGCCCGCGUCCGAUUAGCUAGUUGGUGAGGUAACGGCUCACCAAGGCUCCGAUCGGUAGCUGGUCUGAGAGGAUGAUCAGCCACACUGGGACUGAGACACGGCCCAGACUCCUACGGGAGGCAGCAGUGGGGAGUAUUGGACAAUGGGGGCAACCCUGAUCCAGCAAUGCCGCGUGAGUGAUGAAGGCCUUAGGGUUGUAAAGCUCUUUCGACGGGGAAGAUGAUGACGGUACCCGUAGAAGAAGCCCCGGCUAACUUCGUGCCAGCAGCCGCGGUA